GGAAACCUGCUUAGAGGUGGGGGUGCCCGAAAGGGAGCCGUAACACAGGUGCUGCAUGGCUGUCGUCAGCACGUGUCGUGAGAUGUUGGGUUAAGUCCCGCAACGAGCGCAACCCUUGUCCCCAGUUGCUACGCAAGAGCACUCCGGGGAGACUGCCGGUGACAAACCGGAGGAAGGUGGGGAUGACGUCAAGUCCUCAUGGCCCUUAUGGGUAGGGCUUCACACGUCAUACAAUGGUCGGAACAGAGGGUUGCGAAGCCGCGAGGUGGAGCCAAUCCCAGAAAACCGAUCGUAGUCCGGAUCGCAGUCUGCAACUCGACUGCGUGAAGCUGGAAUCGCUAGUAAUCGCGGAUCAGCAUGCCGCGGUGAAUACGUUCCCGGGUCUUGUACACACCG
rnacentral:rRNA from 1 species